GAGGGCCCCGUGGCGGGGUCUAAGUGGCUUUCACUGCAGACUUCUUUUAGAAGUUACCAGGAGGGCCCCAAAGGUGUGCCUAGAGAUCCUGGAGCUGUCCAGUGUCCCCAGGUGGGAAGGGCCAGAGCCAAAGACAUCUGCAGGGGCUACGGAAGUAGCAAGCGAAGUGGGGACGCAUGUGCAGAGAUGCGCCCGGUCGGCGCACACAAUCUGCCAACAGCCCGGACCCCGAUGAAUCGCGAAGGCGGAGCCUGAAGCGUCUCAAAGCACCGGAGGAACUCUCCACCCAUCCCCCUUCCUCCUCCGCGAGGCAGGGGCCCCGGAUUCUAGCCCCGGCUCUACCAUUUACUGCCACGGACCCUUGGGCAAGUCACUUCCCUUCUCUGGGCCUUAGUCUCCUCCCUUGUAAAAGUGGGCGAGUAGGACUAAUGGAACGCCCCAGGCCCCAGGGUGCUGAGCCGUGCUCCCACGGCGGGACAGGAACUGGGGACAAGGCCCAGAGUUGGUUGGCAGGGUGGAAGGGGAGGCUACAGAGAAAGGGCGAGACAUAAUCCUUGCCCCGGAAAAGGUUCAUCAGGAAGUUAGAGAAGAGAAGGAUGGUGACAGAGAGCCUGGCCCAUCCUGCAGGGUCCCCUCUUGUGCCCUUGGCUGCACAGCUGGGCUCCUGGUUUAGAUUUUCUCCCGGGGGUAGGCAAAACGUCAACUCCCUUUGUCCCCAUGCUCAUCAUCCUUUGUCACCUUGCCCUUAGGGCCUGUGGUCCUACCUCUCCCUGAGAAUGAACUUCCCCCCACCACACGCAUUCUUUUCUCGUCCAGAUCUCCCUGCACUUUCAUAAUCCUCCUCCUCCUGGAAGUCCUCCCUGACCUCCACUUCCAUGUCACUCCCCGCUGGCCUGGGUGCAAAGUCCCCUGAGCUGACGGCUGUCAAG